rnacentral:rRNA from 1 species
AGCUCCAAUAGCGUAUAUUAAAGUUGUUGCAGUUAAAAAGCUCGUAGUUGGAUUUCUGGUGUCUUUUUGCGUUUCCAUCUUUGCCAGCGAAAUGCUGGUGUUGGUCGCAAUGGAUGCCUUCUUUCUCCAUCAGUUCGUCGCUGAAUCAUUAGUUUGGCUCGGUGAUGAAUGGGGAUCAUUUACUGUGAAAAAAUUAGAGUGUUCAAAGCAAGUAUUAUUUCUUGAAUACAUUAGCAUGGAAUAAUAAGAUAGGACUUGGGUAAUAUUUUGUUGGUUUGCAUAUCCAGGUAAUGAUUAAUAGGAACAUAUUGGGGAUAUCUGUAUUUUUUAGUCAGAGGUGAAAUUCUUGGAUUUAAGAAAGACAAACUACAGCGAAAGCAUUUAUCAAGGAUGUUUUCAU